AGUCAGCGUUUCAAUAGGUCAUGAUGAAGGGCUGACAAGAAAUACAAAUGAAGGUGACUGCCUGAGAGAGCCUGUCCUUUUGUUACGACAGUUCAUUGUAAAUAUAUUACAAUUGAGAAAACACACAGAUGCAUUGGGCUCAAUACCAACUGACAGCAUAUAGCCAUGGUGUGCUUCACAUUCAACUCACAACAAAAGCCCUAAUGCAGUACAUUCAAAUAAACAAUACAUUUUAUUUAUAUAGCACCUUUCAUACAUAAAAUGCAACUCAAAGUGCUUUACAGAGAAGACAAAAAAUGAAAUGAAAGUCCACAAAUAUACUGCGUCUGGGUUUCCUCUUAAGUCUAUAGAGUAGCCACUGUAUUUGAUCUGGUAAAUUCUUUUUUACUCCUUCCAAAAACAGUACUUUAAAAACUGAUAAGGUCAAUCUUAUAGGUAAUUUAUCUCACGUUUAGUGAGAUACUUUUUUGCUUUUUCCCUUUCCUUUAUUGUGUUAUACAUCUUUUUGGUUUUGUACAGGACAUGAACAGCGGUCUCCUGGGUAAAAGUCCUGUUUGUUUGACCCAUCCAUCCCGACCUCUUCCCUUCACAGACUUUGAUUAGGACUCAGGUCAGCUGAUCUGCCUCUGCCCAUUUAAAUCUGUGGGUCAGCGCUUGAGUACGGUCUGGCAACUUUGGCUUUUGGACAGCAUUCUCCAAUUAAAAAUUGUCUUUAUUUUUCACAUUUUAAGCUCUUGAUAAGAUACAAAAAUGAUUAAAAAAAAGUUGAAGGGAAGAUGGGAAAUAACAAAAUUCCAAAUCCCCUAAUUUUUCCAUCGUAUUUUUACUCCACCUUACAAGCUUUAGAGUAAAAGUCCAUCUUAUUACGUUGAAAAAUUGUCUGAUGCACAUGUCUAUAUGUGAUAUUGUAGCAAUUAGUGUAAAUUAGUCCAUUACAAGUCCUUUAAUGCUGUUCCUACAGCAGUCUGACUUCACAAGAUUUGUUCUAUACUUAAAAACUGAAAAUGCUACCAAAAACAAUCAGAAUACUUGCAUUUCACUUAACACGACAUGUUCUGGUAGAAAAAAGAGAUAAACAA